GACGAACGCUGGCGGCGUGCCUAAUACAUGCAAGUAGAACGCAGUUGCGAACGGGUGAGUAACGCGUAGGUAACUGCCUCAUAGCGGGGGAUAACUAUUGGAAACGAUAGCUAAUACCGCAUACUGUGAGAUGGACCUGCGUUUUAUUGGCUAGUUGGUGAGGUAAAGGCUCAACAAGGCGACGAGACAUACCCGAACCGAGAGGGGUAUCGGCCAAACUGGGACUGAGGAAAGGCCCAGACUCCCACGGGAAGCAACAGUAGGGAAUCUUCGGCAAUGGACGGAAGUCUGACCGAGCAACGCCGCGUGAGUGAAAGAGGUUUUCGGGUCGGAAAGCUCUGUUGGUAGAGGAGCGGUAACUAACCAGAAAGGGACGGCUAACUACGUGCCAGCAGCCGCGGUAAUUC
rnacentral:rRNA from 1 species